CUCGUAGGCGGCCAACUAAGUCCGACGUGAAAUCCCAAAGCUUAACUUUGGAACUGCGUCGGAUACUGGAUGGCUUGAAUUCGGGAGAGGGAUGCAGAAUUCCAGGUGUAGCGGUGAAAUGCGUAGAUAUCUGGAGGAAUACCGGUGGCGAAGGCGGCAUCCUGGACCGACAUUGACGCUGAUGAGCGAAAGCUAGGGAGCAAACG
rnacentral:rRNA from 1 species